AUACUACUCCCUUCGUCUCAAAUUACUUGUCUUGAAUUUGUCCAAAAGUGAAUGUAUCUAGACAUAUUAUAGGUGUAGAUACACCUACUUUUGGACAAAUCCAAAAAAAGUAAUUUGAAACAAAGGGAGUACUAC
rfam:Triticum aestivum genome assembly, contig: Triticum_aestivum_CS42_TGACv1_scaffold_249939_3DL